GGAACCGGAGCGGGUGGCCAAGCCAAGAGCCCGGGGUCAGUGCCAAGCACCAGCUCCCUCCUCCCAGUCGGCCACGGUCAGAUGAUGUGCGAGGCGAGCCGGGAGGCUCCUAGUCUGGCAGGCAGCCUGCUCUGCUCCAGAGGCUCCAGUGCUGUCAUCCUGGCAUUAACCCCUGAUAACCUUGUCCUUUCCAGGACGGGACUGUGGCUUUUAGAUACCAGCAGGGAUCAGAGGCAUAGUGCAACAUUCCCGGCCUGUCCGCAAUUUUGGAAUGAAAUGUCAAUCAGCCAAGAGGUCCCUUGAACCAGACAAGGUCCCACAGCACAGAGAGCCAGAGGAGGGAACGAUGCCAAUGCUCUUCCAGCCUGGGGAAGUUUUUCCCUGCGUUUUUGGUGUGGAGUUGGGAGCUAGAAACUGAGUCUGUGCCUGCUGCAGGAGAGCCUUGUUGGUUUCCCAGCCUCAAGGCUUGCAGAACCUUGAUCCAGCACCCACCAUUCACCAUCACUCAACAUCCACUGCGUCUUGCAGAGCCUGAGGUGCUUCCAGAGUUUGGGCAAAUCAGCAGAAUUAGGCCAAAAUCUGGACAACCUCUCAGGUUUGGUAUUUUAGGAGCAACCUCUGUAAAAAAGCAGUGGAUGUGGCGGAGACACACGCCAGCUCAACUUGCUCUCCCUCUCUGAGGACAAGCUCUGGACUUCUUGAGAGCUUUGCUUUGCCAGCAGAUCCAGCACCAACCCCACCAGCUCACUUCUACCCUUGGAUCAAGGCUUCUCCAUGGGUCAUACAGGAAUUUGGCUCCCACCAACCUGAUGCCACCAAACCACGGGCCAGCCACCUUCAGUCACUCCAGCCAUGGCUUUGCUUGUUUGAAAGAAGUCACAACCAAACACAUCUGCUGAGAACAAGUCAGCUCAAAAUACAGGAAAACCACCCUCUGUCUCCUAUUUACGGGAAUUAUUUUUAUCCCCAAUGGGAUAUUUUUGCUCUUUAACCACACGGAGGACAGAAGGGAUCUGGCUGGCAAUACCUGAGCACAGCCGAGUCAGUGGGAGCAACCGUGAGCGAGGAGUCCUGACCUACCCACAGGCUGACCACCGACAAAAAUAAAGAUGAUAUAAGAAAAUAAAUAAAGCCA
rnacentral:lncRNA from 1 species